ACAUGCCUACAACAUAGCGUUAAUUCACAAUAUCCCAUUAGAAAAUCAUAGUUAAGUGCGCUUGAGAUAGAUUAGUACUGGGAUGGGUGACCACCCGGGAAGUCCUAGUGUUUUACAUGCC
rnacentral:rRNA from 1 species